GCCUUUCAGUUAGAGCUUCGGACUUUUAAUCCGAAGGUUGAGGGUUCGAGUCCCUU
rnacentral:tRNA from 1 species